rnacentral:tRNA from 1 species
CGGCGUCGUCGGCGAGGGCGGUGCGGCUGGCACUGCUGCUGACGGGAAAGCCGUGCAGGACUCCGGCGCCGAUGUUCGACACGCCGAGCGCCAGC